GAGUUUGAUCAUGGCUCAGAACGAACGCUGGCGGCGUGGAUAAGACAUGCAAGUCGAACGGGAGAAUUGCUAGCUUGCUAAUAAUUCUCUAGCGGCGCACGGGUGAGUAACACGUGAGUAACCUGCCCCGAGGAGCGGGAUAGCCCUGGGAAACUGGGAUUAAUACCGCAUAGUAUCGAAAGAUUAAAGCAGCAAUGCGCUUGGGGAUGGGCUCGCGGCCUAUUAGUUAGUUGGUGAGGUAACGGCUCACCAAGGCGAUGACGGGUAGCCGGUCUGAGAGGAUGUCCGGCCACACUGGAACUGAGACACGGUCCAGACACCUACGGGUGGCAGCAGUCGAGAAGUCAUUCACAAUGGGGGAAACCCUGAUGGUGCGACGCCGCGUGGGGGAAUGAAGGUCUUCGGAUUGUAAACCCCUGUCAUGUGGGAGCAAAUUAAAAAGAUAGUACCACAGGAGGAAGAGACGGCUAACUCUGUGCCAGCCGCCGCCGUAAG
rnacentral:rRNA from 1 species